AGAGAAAGUAUUUGUGUUCGACAAGCUUCUUUCAGACACGAGGGAUGGAAAAGGAGGAAUUUGACAUCGAUUCAGUGCUCAGAUUUUGCAGGAUUAUUCAAAAUAGCCAGAAGCUGGAAGCAAACCAGGUGUCCAUCAACAGAUGAAGUGAC